rnacentral:rRNA from 1 species
CAGCCGCCGCGGUAAUACGUAGGUGGCAAGCGUUGUCCGGAAUUAUUGGGCGUAAAGGGCUCGCAGGCGGUUUCUUAAGUCUGAUGUGAAAGCCCCCGGCUCAACUGGGGAGGGUCAUUGGAAACUGGGAAACUUGAGUGCAGAAGAGGAGAGUGGAAUUCCACGUGUAGCGGUGAAAUGCGUAGAGAUGUGGAGGAACACCAGUGGCGAAGGCGACUCUCUGGUCUGUAACUGACGCUGAGGAGCGAAAGCGUGGGGAGCGAACAGGAUUAGAUACCCGUGUAGUCCCUGUCUCUUAUAC